GACGAACGCUGGCGGCGUGCUUAACACAUGCAAGUCGAACGGAAAGGCCUCUUUCGGGGGGUACUCGAGUGGCGAACGGGUGAGUAACACGUGAGUAACCUGCCCUUGACUUUGGGAUAACUUCAGGAAACUGGGGCUAAUACCGGAUAGGAGCUCCUGCUGCAUGGUGGGGGUUGGAAAGUUUCGGCGGUUGGGGAUGGACUCGCGGCUUAUCAGCUUGUUGGUGGGGUAGUGGCUUACCAAGGCUUUGACGGGUAGCCGGCCUGAGAGGGUGACCGGCCACAUUGGGACUGAGAUACGGCCCAGACUCCUACGGGAGGCAGCAGUGGGGAAUAUUGCACAAUGGGUGGAAGCCUGAUGCAGCAACGCCGUGUGCGGGAUGACGGCCUUCAGGUUGUAAACCGCUUUCGCUCAUGACGAAGCUUUGUGUGACGGUAGUGGGUAAAGAAGCACCGGCUAACUACGUG
rnacentral:rRNA from 1 species